AGCACUUUUAAACUCGGUCAUAAAAUAACCGAUCUUAAAAGUACUUUUAAGAUCGGUUAUUCUAUGACCGAUCUUAAAAGUGUC
rnacentral:miRNA from 1 species